UUAAGUUCAGCGGGUAGUCCUACCUGAUUUGAGGUCAGACGUUAAAGGUCGGUUUGUCCGGAGACGACUGUGAGCCACCCCCUUACACGGACGCCGGCGAACGUGACUUAUCACACCGUAGUCUGCGCGAUGGGGACGGCCGAUGCAUUUCGAGACGAGCCGUCUUCGAGAGACGGCAGCGUCCAAAUCGACCCCCGGCA
rnacentral:misc_RNA from 1 species